rnacentral:lncRNA from 1 species
UUACAUAGAAUUUUUAGAAAAAGAUAUGAGAAAUAUACAGUUACUAGAAAAACAGAUAAAAAUAAAUAUAGACAAAUACAUGGAAACUAAAGAUAUAAAAUACAUAGAAUUUCUUAAUAAAAAUAUGCAAGAACUACUAAGGCUAAAACAAACAACUACAAAAUAUUAUAAUAAAACCAAUUUUAAAAGAUAGAUCAUCUAGAUUACCUUAAAGUUUUAAUCUUAUAUAUACUUAAAGAUAUAGAAAUAAUAGAUAUUAAGAAAAUAAUAUUAGAAAAAAUAAUAGACUAUGAAAUUGAAACCAUAAAUUGGCUAGAACAGUUAUACGAAGAAAUUUACCCAGAAGGAUAUUAUACAGAUUAAGAGAUGUUAGAAUAUAUUAGAAAAACUAGAGAA